CACCAAGUCCGAGACUCCGGUGACAACUGGGGUCUGGUGCAACAGUGG
rnacentral:sRNA from 1 species